AUUGUCGACGCAGCAUCUAUCGCAUUCAAUCAGUGGAAACUUCACACUUGUCAAACAUAUACGACAGUAAAUUGGCAACGGAUCUCAGUCGAGCUCAGUAUAUAUUUAAAUGCUAUAUCAUUUCAUAUAUAGUACAAUUUCAAGUUAUUUAUAGAGUCAUUGUUUGGCAGAUGAUUGUUUAUCUGCAUUUUGACAGUGCGCAUACUCUGGAUAGAUAUGAAGCAUCCUGCAUCUUAAUACAGCCCUGAUGACACGUAGCGAGAAGGAGAAGCGCACGCGCUUGGAGUGCGACAAUUUGAUCCGGCGUUAGAAAAUGACGGAAAAAAAAAUCAUGAACGCGAAGGACGUUCGCGCGCUAGAGAGUGAGAUCAUACGUCGUUGUCGGUGCAGCGCGCGAUAUGUCAGCGAGCAGUAAAGUCGCGGCCUUGGGAUAAGCGCAUUUAGUUGUGUGCGCCGCGCCUGCGUGUACGAUGCAUAUGUGUAUGAGAGUAUAUAAAUGUGUGUACAUACAUAUGACCGACUGACCCGGAGUCGUCUAAGGAAAAAAAAAAAAAAAAGAAAAAAACAUACGCAAGGGAUCUGGCUCGAUGAUUCGUGUAACUCGCGAGGAUAUCGAACGCACGCGCGAAAACCAAUUCUUCAUUCAAUUUUGCGAACGCGGGGCUUGACAAUCACGGAACGGGACUUGUCUCAUCUACACGCGAACAUUUUCUACGGCGUGAUUUGCAUCCUAUAAUUUUCCUUAACGGAAAAUUCGAUCCAACAUUAAUCUUCGCUUUUAUGUCCUUUUAAUGUCCUUUUAAGAAUCUAGAUGAAGAGAACGACGGAAGUUGACUUUGUCAAAAUCGAAUCAAAAAUCCAAGUAUUAAAACCGGUUGAGCAUAGUUAUUACAUUACGUUGAGAAUGACGGAGAGGAUAGAGAGCAAAUGAAAGGAAGAGAGAAAGAGAUACUCGUUCCCCCUCAUAUUUAACGGAUGCUGGAUAGAUGUAUGGCGCAAUAUCGGGAAAAAAUUCCACGUUUAUUAGCCAAUCGCGAAAGACAUGAAAAAUGAUCAUUCAGAGUGUGCAGUGUGUCAUGCGCAAACGAUCACUCCACUGCAUUAAGAUGUCGUAAACAUCACAAUGUUCACCAGAUGGGCGCUUCUUGUAUCGGCGUAUACGAUAGCCAGGUGCCGACGUGUAUCGUAUGACUAAUCAUCGUGAGGAAAAUAGCUAACAAUGAUGCGUAAUUGACGUCUAUGGCGCUUCUACAUGCGUUAUAUAAAACGAUAUUCAUAUAUCCGGUCUCAUGUUUCCAAACAAGAUUCAUCGGCGAAUGUCAGCAGAGACUUAUUCAAAUCAAGUGGUAUCGGUGCGAGAUAAAUACGACGCUGAAUGUAGCUCAAGUUCGAAUACAAAGUAAUUUUUUUGAAUAUAAUUUUUGUCCCGCAUGCGCGUUUGACUCUACCUCAAACUCUAUCGAGCUACUUUUAUUUUCCUUCGAUUCGAAAAUAAACGAAAUGAGGAACGCAAGGAAGGCGGAUCGCGAUCGACGAGAGAUUGAAGCGCGAAGAAAUCGCGAAUUUGAUCUCUCGUAACACGCGGAGGAACUUUGCUCUCGGCUCGGAUAAUCUCUCUCUCAUAUGCCCGGGAGGUGUACUUGCUCUCUCUAAUUCUCUAAUACAUUUAUAGAUCAAGGAUAAGAAAUCGAGCGCUAUCGCACGAUCCGUCGUCAUCGUCGCGCAUGGAUGCAGCGGUAAGCGAGAUUGCGCUAUCGCGUUUACGGAGGCGCAAAGGUCGUCAUCGUCGUCGUCAUCGUCGAAGAACGGUAACUAUGUAUAUUCUCAUUGCAUUGAGAUUCAUAACACUGUGUAUAGCGGAUGUCCCGAGAAAAGCAGUCCACGUCGUCACGCGUGUUGUAGUUUGUCCGAUCUAAAAAUAAGAACCUUCUAUCCGAUUGUGGAGAUGUUUUUUAUUUUCUGGAAUCCAAGGAAUGUUGAUGAAAUGAUCACGCUGUUGAAAAAAAAUUGAAAUGAGGGAUUGUUGCGGCGGAAAACGAGUUUUCGAGAAUGGGAAACUCCGCCGAUUGUAGCGAAUAAAUGUCACAAUAAGAAAGGCGGAGACUGCGCGCGAGUCGCGAUCAUAAAUUCGAUCUAAAGCGCGCGCGUUCGGGUGCGCAGGACGACGCAUCGGGGACAGGCAGAGCAGCGUCGGGUUACG